UACGAAGGGGGCUAGCGUUGCUCGGAAUCACUGGGCGUAAAGCGCACGUAGGCGGAUUGCUAAGUUAGGGGUGAAAUCCUGGAGCUCAACUCCAGAACUGCCCUUGAUACUGGCGGUCUCGAGUCCGGGAGAGGUGAGUGGAACUGCGAGUGUAGAGGUGAAAUUCGUAGAUAUUCGCAAGAACACCAGUGGCGAAGGCGGCUCACUGGCCCGGUACUGACGCUGAGGUGCGAAAGCGUGGGGAGCAAACAGG
rnacentral:rRNA from 1 species